AAUAUCAUUGAUUACAAUAAGUGAUGCUGGAAGAAGGAGCCUGCGUCAUAGCUAAACUGUUUGAAGUUCUUUCCUCAUCUUGUACUUGAAUGUCAAAGUAGAAUGCUCACAAUUCUAGUAAGUAUUUAAUGUAUAAUACUUUUAGAUACCAACUCAGGAAAAAGUUAAAAUCACCGAGUUAAAAUUCCAAAUAUAGAGCAAUAAGAUUCCACAAAGAUCCUAGACAAAGUUAACUUAUAAUUGCAACUACUCGUGGAUGAUGGAAGGAAUAAGAUUUGACAAAUAAUUCUUCACUUGUGAGACAAAAAAUUCUGUUAAACAUAAUACCUAUUAAUGUGUGAUACAUUAAAUAAAACAAAAGAAAAAUAAAUCAGAAAAACAUUAUAGAGGAGAGGAUUUACUUAUCAUAGUACAAGUCAUUCCUUGAGCAAUAUGCAACAGAUGCCAUGUCUCAUUAGGCAACAGUGACCUUUCCUGCAACUGCAAUCACACAAAUUGAACUAGUUGGGUUCCCCUAAGCUAGUUUCACAAUUCAUUUUUACUUGUACUGUGUUCAUAAAGAUAAAAGAGGUCCACGGAUAUAAACCGAGAAAGUUCGUUAACAAACCUCAAACAAUUCAUAUAGAUAAAUAUGUUAUUAUAUAUAUAUAUAUAUAUAUAUAUAUAUAUAUAUAUGUUAAUGAUAAUAUAUUGUUCUAUAAGCAAAAUAGUAAAUUCAUUAAACUGAAAAUACUACCAUAUCAAGUUCACAUGAUGGUGCAUAUUAAAAAUUCUCAAUUUAAUAAGCACCAUGUGUAAAGGAAAAUAUUACCGCAGACAGGAAGCUUUAAAUGCCAACAAAUUAUAUAAUAAUGAAUGUCUGAUAGUUCAGAAAAAGGUCAAACUAAUAGGUUCUGAAGAUUUUAAACCUGAUAAUUCUGACUAACCUCCACAUAAAUAAGGCCCAGCUCGAAUAAUUUUUUGUCUUUCAGUUAGUGACAUUUCCUCAAACACCUUGAAUGCAUAACAGUUUAUAUCCAUCCUAAUGGGGUAUGUAUACAUGAACCCCCAAUCAAUUAAACAGAAAUUGCUUAAAACGACUGGCAUUGCAUAAAACUACUACCACAAAAGUCUAUUAAAACCAUCAAUCUUGAGAUAUAAUUCAAAAGAAUUCUAGCUAAGCACUUCUAAUACAAAAAUAUUCAUAACGAAAAAGUAUGUUAAACAACCUAAGAAUCCAAAUUUGAGAAUAGGUUUAGACUACUUAC
rnacentral:lncRNA from 1 species